rnacentral:tRNA from 1 species
GCGACAUUAGCUCAGUUGGUAGAGCUAUACCUUGCCAAGGUAUAGGUCAUCGGUUCGAACCCGAUAUGUCGCUCCA